UGGAACUCGGACUUAAAUUUUCAGUUGCUAGAAAUGCCUCGACCAGGCAACAUCUAAAAAUAUUAAUUUCAAAAGUAAAAAAUAAAAAUAAAAAAAAUUCUUCUGGCUUACAUUUUUUGUUGGGAUUUGUUUUUUUUUGUGUGUGUGUGUGUCAAACGAAGCAAAUGUUGGUAGCUAAUCCUGCAGCUAAUCAAGAGGAUCGGCAACGGUGGGAUGGAGAUGGAUGCACCACAAAUGCCUGCCAGCCUGCAGGGAAGUUUUCGACAAAAUCAAUGAAACAUCCACCGAGUGGGGAACGGGAACGGCAACGGUACUCUGUGGCACGAAUAGUUGACCACCUAGUUGGGAUCGUUCUUAUCGGCCACUAAUUACGUUUUGGUCAUGUGCUCCUUGGGCUGCUUCUUUCGGAAGCGAAGGCUCGUCGGAACUGUUUCUCGUCUGCAGUCGCAUCAAAACUUCGGGUUGGCUCUUUGUGUGUGCCGUCCUGUCCGCCGUUCCGAUGCUACUGAUCCUUGGAGGACACCGUCCAAUGGACCAAUUGGCUUCUUGAGAGGAUUCAUGCAUGACAACCAUGUUCUGUUCCCCACUUUGAUCUAGCACAUCCCCAAGGCAAUGGCAAAGGGGAAAAAGCCUUCACAUGGAUCAUUCACACAGUUUUGGCAAUGUUUGGACUGGGUUGAAUGUGAGUUGGGCUCCUUGGGCUCCACAUACAGAGUUCAACAAUCUCAUCUCUAUGUCCAAAAGUCGUCCCUCCACCAGAAGACAGACCUGCACAGGAUUCGAUUCCAUUGAAAAAUCUUUAAAUGAAAUUAUGGGACCGAUUGGGAGAUGUUAUCGUGAUCUUGCGGGACACCAGCAAUUGGCGUGGAACCAGCUAAGGAUCAACUACGGCGACUACUAGGAAUGAAGCAGGGGCACGGCUGCCUCCCAGGGUCAGUAUCAUAGGAUCAGCGGAUAGGACGACAAACGCGAAAAACGAACCCCAUGCUUGGAUUCAGCUGCAGAUUAAAGUUCCGUGAAAGCUUCGCUUCAGAGGGAAGAGGCCUUAAAGAGCAGACUAGCGAAACGUGAAGAGUGUCCCAUGAGGAUGACCGCAACCAGGUGGAUUCCAACUGGUCGUGCCAUUAAUGAUCGUCCCAAGGUGUCGCCCCAUCGAUUGAUGUAACAGGCAACAAAUAAUUAUAUAUUUUAUAAAAGAGAA